UUGAUCCUGAACUGAGGGAAUGAAAGGACUUUUUUAGGUUAGCAGCAAUCACAGCUGAAAUUUGUGCUGGACAAGCCCUCUCUGAUUUAAGUCUGCAGAUCUCCCACAAGUGGAAUGAGGCAUCCCUCCGCCACUCAGUUUGACAGGGGAACAAAGUGAUCUACUCAUGACAGCAGUAGUCCCUGGAAAAAUGAAGCAAGCAGGGCUUAGACACUCAUCGUCCUUGAGAAAUCAUGCCCCUCAUAAGAUGUCUUCACAGUGAAAACAGCGGUACCUUGCAAGGCUGACAGCUAGAGAUGAAACGAAGUGUUUGAUUUCUCCAAACAGCUGACGUUCUGUGCAAAUGCCACUGUGUGUAUCUGAGUGUGUUUAAGAGCAUACCUUCCUUCUUUUUCACAAUAAUGCAGGAUGAUAUUUAAAAAAACAUAGUUCUUGUACUAAGUGAACUUACGGGUGAUUAAGAGCAAACAGAAUGUCGGGGAAAGGUUAUGCACCAAAAUGUGCCUCAUUGUAAUUCCACAUUUUUUUCAGCAAACUCCUCAAUCAUAUUCUAAUAAAAACGGCUUGCUGUAUUAAAUGUA